GGUAUGACGAGAUGGCGGCGAAGGAAACACUGUGCGGAUGUGAUAUUAUCGUUCCGCCUCAUCUUUUUUAUGCAAGACGGAGAAUGAGAUGGAGAUGAAGAGAGAUGUUGACAAGGGAUGAAAGAUGAAGAGAAUUUAAGAUGGUAUU
ensembl:ncRNA Y42A5A.12 ncRNA